rnacentral:rRNA from 1 species
GACGAACGCUGGCGGUGUGCUUAACACAUGCAAGUCGAACGGUAAGGCCCUUUCGGGGGUACACGAGUGGCGAACGGGUGAGUAACACGUGAGUAACCUGCCCUCAUCUCUGGGAUAACAGUCGGAAACGGUUGCUAAUACUGGAUAUGAGCUUGCAAGGCAUCUUGUGGGUUGGAAAGAUUUUUUUGGUUGGGGAUGGACUCGCGGCCUAUCAGCUUGUUGGUGAGGUAGUGGCUCACCAAGGCUUCGACGGGUAGCCGGCCUGAGAGGGCGACCGGCCACAUUGGGACGGAGAUACGGCCCAAACUCCUACGGGAGGCAGCAGGGGGGAAUAUUGCCAAAUGGACGGAAGUCUGAUGCAGAAACGCCGGGUGCGGGAUGACGGCCUUCGGGUGUAAAACCGCUUUCAAUUGUGACGAAGCUUUUUGGGACGGUAGCAGUAGAAGAAGCACCGGCUAACUACGU